GGUUAGAAAGCGAACUAUCGCCUCUAGUUUCGACCUAGAUCUUGGUGCAAAGCACCUCCAACCA
rnacentral:tRNA from 1 species